rnacentral:lncRNA from 1 species
CCCUAUUACUAUUGGAAGAAGAAGAGAGAACGGAUCUAUCUUUGAGUUUGAGGCUUUUUCUUUUUUCUUUCAAUCCUCAUUAAAAGGUAGGACUGUCAUCCAAGCUUUGAGGCCGGAUGCUGAUGAUGUAGUAAACCUUGAAAGUAAAAUAAAAGAAACACAGUACUCUCAUAGAAUUGGUUAUAAUUUUCCAGUCGAAGAAAAAUUAUAUGGCGUGCCAUUAAAACCUCUUGUUAGCAUUCUAACUAUGACAAACAGGAAAUGUAAAGAGGAGAGGUAUCUUGGAGAUGAUUUUGAAAUUGUAGCAUCUAAAUGACAAGAUAACACAAGAGAAAUUCUGAAAUGUUUUCUGUAUUUUUCACUAAGAGAGCUACAAUAUAUAUAUACAUCAAGAAGUAGCAAAGCCCUUAAUUCUGGAAUCUAAUCAUCAUAAUCAGAUCCUUUUAGUCCUAGGCCUAGACAAUAAUUGAGGUCUUUAGAGAGAAUCAAGGGAUAUACAGCUAUGACAGAAAUUGAAUAAGAAAAGAAGAAUAUACUGACAGCUACAAAAGAAAAGAAGAAUAUACUGACAGCUACAAAAGAAAGACUGACAGCUAUUAAAGAAAUGCAAGAAGGAAAGGAGAUAUUGACAUCCCCCCUCAAAUUGAUGCGGGUAGGUCUAACAACAUCAAUUUGCUGCUGAGAAACUGAUGGCGUUGGCGUGUUAAGGCUUUUGUAAAGGCAUCAGCUAUUUGAAGAGCAGUAUUGAGAUGAGGAAGAGUGAUAACACCCCGAGUAAAGGCCUCCCUAAUAUAAUGACAGUCCACCUCUAUGUGCUUAGUGCGUUCAUGGUAGACCGGAUUCGCAGCUAUUUGAAUAGCACUAGUAUUAUCACCAUGAAGAGGAGUAGGAGCAGUUGGGGGAAACCCAAGUUCAGAAAGAAGACCACGUAACCACACAAUUUCAGAACAAGCUGCAGACAUGGCGCGAUACUCGGCUUCUGUAGAAGAUUUAGAGACACAAUCCUGCUUCUUACACUUCCAAGAAAUCAAGGCAUCGCCAAGAAAAAUGCACCACCCUGUGAUAGACUUCCGAGUAUCCGGGCAGCCAGCCCAAUCUGCAUCACUAUAGGAAGUCAAGGUAAGAGGAGAAUGUUUAGGAAAAAACAACCCACGAGUAGGGGACCCAAUUAAGUAUCGAAUAAGACGACGAACUGCAGCAAGAUGAAGAUGGCGAGGUGCCUGCAUAAAUUUGCUAACGAUAUGGACAGCAUAGGAGAUAUCAGGCCGUGUAAUGGUGAGGUAGAUAAGACUACCAACAAGUUGCCUAUAUAAAAAAGGAUCAGGCAAAAGGUCGCCUUCAUCUUUUCGGUAUUUCACAUUCACCUCCAUUGGUGUAUCAACAGCAGUAGCAUCCUUUAAACCAGCUAACUCAAUGAGAUCCUGAAUAUAUUUAUGUUGAUUUAAGAACAAACCAUGAUCUCUAGAGUGAACUUCCAGCCCCAAAAAAUAUGUGAGAUGUCCAAGAUCUUUCAUUUGAAAUGUACUAUGCAACAUAUGUUGAAGCUUGGUGAUCAACCCAAUGUCAUUACCAGUGAGGAUAAUAUCAUCAACAUAGACUAAGAGAAAUACCAUACCAGUGGUGGUCUUGUAAAAGAAAAGUGAGGAAUCAUAUUGACUUUGUGUGAAGGAGAAGGUGAGGAGAGUGUUGCGAAACUUCUCAAACCAAGCUCUAGGUGCCUGUUUCAACCCAUACAAAGAGCGUCUUAGUUUGCAAACUUCAUCAGAAGCCGUUGUGGACAUACCAGGUGGAAGUUUCAUAUAAAUCUCUUCCUUAAGAUCCCCAUGCAAGAAGGCAUUUGUCACAUCCAUCUGAUAUAAAGGCCAAGCUUGAGAGGCUGCAAUAGCAAGAAGUGUUCUCACCGUAGUCAUCUUAGCAACGGGUGCAAAUGUUUCUUCAUAGUCGAAGCCAUAUUCUUGUUUAUUGCCAAGAGCAACCAAUCGAGCUUUGUAUCUAUCCAAAGAUCCAUCAGACUUGAGUUUCACAGUAUAAACCCACUUGCUACCAAUGGGCUUGACAUGUGGAGGACAAGAAAUAAUGUCCCAAGUAUGAUUGGCCUUAAGUGCAUGAAGUUCAGCCUCCAUUGCUUGUUUCCAGCACUCAUGUUCUCUAGCCUGUUUAUAACAAGUGGGAAUGGAAAUAGAAGACAGAGUAGUAGACAUAGCCACAGGAGUUGAAAAACCAUACCUUUCAGGAGGUUUGUGAGGUCUAGAGCUUUUACGAAGAGGAGGGGGAUCAUAGGAAAUGGGCAGAACAGGAUCAGAUGCUGCAGGAAGAUGUGAAGGAACCUCAGUGAGACCUGGAGAAGGAUCAGAAGUAGGAGUGCGUCUAUGAUAAACAUAAACAGGGUUAAACCUUUGUACUGGUGUUGGCGACUCAGGAAAACAUGGUAAAACAGAUAGAGAAGGAAGUACUGAAGGCUGUUGGGUGCAAAAGAAGGGCUGAUUUUCAAAAAAUAUGACAUUCCUAGAGACACGAGUUCGACGGGCAUGUGGAUCAUAACAAAGAAAUCCUUUUUGGGUGACAGCAUAGCCUAAGAAAGCACACUUGACAGAUUGGGCAGUAAGUUUAUUUCUCUCAUGUGCAGGAAGGUGAACAAAACAAACACAACCAAAAAUAUGAAGAUUGGAAUAAUUUGGUGCAUGUCCAAACAAACGAACGUAGGGAGAAUCAUUGUUCAAGUGAGGAGAUGGUAAUCGAUUAAUCAAAUAAACAGCAGUACACAAAGCUUCACACCAAAAAUGAGAAGGAACACAUGACUCAAGGAGAAGGGUUCGAACAACGUCAAGAAGAUGACGAUUCUUUCUUUCAGCCACACCAUUUUGUUGUGGGGUGAAAGGACAAGAACGUUGUGAUAUGAUCCCAUGACUUUGAAGAAAAAAUUGAAAUUCAUUUGACAUAUAUUCACCACCUGAAUCAGAUUGCAGAAUUUUGAUUUUGGCAGAAAAUUGUGUCUCAACUAAGGCAAGAAGGGCUUUAAACACAAAGAAGACCUCACUUUUAGAUCGAAGAAAAUAUACCCAAGUAAAACGAGUGAAAUCAUCUAUAAAUGUAACAAAGUAUUUGUAAUGUUCAUGAGAAAUGACAGGUGCAAUACCCCAUACAUCAGUAUGCACGAUUUCAAAAGGUUUGGUGGUGCGGGUUUUAUGCAAUGGAAAAGGAAGUGUUUUGCUUUUACCAAGUUUGCAAGAUGCACAAUCAACAAUAUCAUUAUUAGAAGAAGUCGAAUUUUUAUUUCCUAGUAAACCAGAUUUAAACAAGACUCGAAGUACAUGAGAAUUAGGAUGUCCUAAACGUCUAUGCCACACCUGAUUAUCACAUUGAACAACAUUACAUGCAACAUAAUUUGACAUAGGAGAGGGAGAUAGAAGCAAGGGAAAUAGGCGUCCCACUUUAGGUCCCUUCGCGAUCAUCUUCCCGGACACUUGAUCCUGCACAAAACAACCAGAUUUGGAAAAAUGAACAUCACAAUUGUUGUCAACUAAUUGGCCAACAGAUAUAAGAUUAGUGGACAGCUUAGGAGACACAAAGACAGUAUUCAGAAGGGCUGAAAUAUCACCAACAGCUGUGAUAGACAAGGGAUUACCAUCGGCAGUACGAAUAUGAAGAUUGCCUUUAUAUUUUUGAACAUUAUUUAAAGGUAAGGCAGUGUUGGUCAUGUGAUUGGAAGCAGCAGAAUCAAAAUACCAAGGCUUAGGAAUAGAAUUUCGGUUACCUGAAAGGCCUAAAGCAGAAAGGGCAGAAACUAUCAUUUGUUGGACCAUUUCAGGGGUAAUAGAGGACUGACCAGGACUAGGAGUAUUUGAGGAACCAACCGAGACAUUAUAGGCAGUUUCAGAUUUCUUUGGAGGCCGGAUGGAGCAGUCUUUGAUGAUAUGCCCUGUUUUCUUACAAUAGUUGCAGAAUUUUUUAGUACAAGUAGUGGCAAUGUGCCCAAAUCCUUUGCAGCUAUAGCACUGGACAUUUGACAUAUUUCUACCUCCUUUAGACCUCCCUUGAGCAGUGUAUGCAACAGGAAUUGGAGUAGAAGUUUGAGCUUUCUGCUCUAAAACAGCCUGUGUAAUGAUCCGUUGUUCUUCCCUGAGAAGUUCUCCUACACAAAUAUCCAAGAAAGGAACUGGUUGUCUAUUCAUCAGGUUGGACCUGAUUGCUUCAAAUUCUCCCCUUAACUUCAUUAAAAACUGAUCACGUUUGCUGGUCUCAUGCACACUUUGAAUAACAAUAAGUCCUUCAGGAGGUACACUUGCAUACACAAUAUCUGUGUACUCAGCCCAAAGAUUUACAAAGGAAGAAUAAAACUCUUGUAUUGACAUACUGCCUUGACUGAGUUGACCCAACUCGAGUUCCAAUUGGAAUCUUCGUGCUGUAUUGCUUUGGUUGUAAACUUUCUUCAGGUAAUCCCACAUCUCUCUAGAGGAUUUGUAAGGCUUGAGAUUGAGAAGCAUGGAGUGUUCCAUACUUCCAAGGAUCCAAGACAUAAUCUGAGCAUCCUUCACCUCCCAUUUCACAUAUUUCUCUUUCUCCUGCUCACUGUCAGGUGCAGGAACUGUCCCAGCAAUAUGACCCCAUAAUUCCCCCCUUAACUUCAUUAAAAACUGAUCACGUUUGCUGGUCUCAUGCACACUUUGAAUAACAAUAAGUCCUUCAGGAGGUACACUUGCAUACACAAUAUCUGUGUACUCAGCCCAAAGAUUUACAAAGAAAGAGUAAAACUCUUGUAUUGACAUACUGCCUUGACUGAGUUGACCCAACUCGAGUUCCAAUUGGAAUCUUCGUGCUGUAUUGCUUUGGUUGUAAACUUUCUUCAGGUAAUCCCACAUCUCUCUAGAGGAUUUGUAAGGCUUGAGAUUGAGAAGCAUGGAGUGUUCCAUACUUCCAAGGAUCCAAGACAUAAUCUGAGCAUCCUUCACCUCCCAUUUCACAUAUUUCUCUUUCUCCUGCUCACUGUCAGGUGCAGGAACUGUCCCAGCAAUAUGACCCCAUAAUUCCUUUCCCUUGACAAAAAUCUGAAACUGGAAAGCCCAGGCAGAAUAGUUCUUUCCAGUAAAUCGAACAAGAAAAUGUUCAGAUCGUUCCAGAGACAUGAUUUAACUAGAAACAAGAACCAAGAGAUCAAGUCCAAGAAAAACAGAAUAGAAGAACCAGACAAGGAACUAGAUACAAGAUGAAUUGAUUUCAGAGUUUUGGCUCUGAUACCAUGACAAGAUAACACAAGAGAAAUUCUGAAAUGUUUUCUGUAUUUUUCACUAAGAGAGCUACAAUAUAUAUAUACAUCAAGAAGUAGCAAAGCCCUUAAUUCUGGAAUCUAAUCAUCAUAAUCAGAUCCUUUUAGUCCUAGGCCUAGACAAUAAUUGAGGUCUUUAGAGAGAAUCAAGGGAUAUACAGCUAUGACAGAAAUUGAAUAAGAAAAGAAGAAUAUACUGACAGCUACAAAAGAAAAGAAGAAUAUACUGACAGCUACAAAAGAAAGACUGACAGCUAUUAAAGAAAUGCAAGAAGGAAAGGAGAUAUUGACACUAAACUGGUAAGUUAGCUUCACCAAAAAAGGCUAGAAUUGAAAAGUGCAUAGAUUGCAAAAGGAAAAAAAAAAUAGCAUGUCACAGAAAAUGGAUACAAACCAACCUUUUUCCCCCUCUCAAUUGCCUGAUCAGUCUCAUCCAUCAUCUGAUUUCCAUGAUCCAUUAUUUGUUGGUUUGUCAU